rnacentral:rRNA from 1 species
AGCCAUGCGAGUCAUUGUAGCAUACAAGGCGGACGGCUCAGUAACACGUAGUCAACCUAACUCGUGGACGUGGAUAACCUCGGGAAACUGAGAAUAAACCACGAUAGUUCAUAGUGCCUGGAAUGGCUUAUGGUCCAAACAGUUUACUGCCAUGGGAUGGGACUGCGGCCUAUCAGCUUGUUGGUGAGGUAAUGGCCCACCAAGGCGAUUACAGGUACGGGCUCUGAGAGGAGAAGCCCGGAGAUGGGUACUGAGACACGGACCCAGGCCCUAUGGGGCGCAGCAGGCGAGAAACCUUAGCAAUGUGCGAAAGCACGACUGGGUCAGUCCGAGUGAUUCCUGAUAAAGGAGUCUUUUGCUUGUCCUAAAAGCACAGGUGAAUAAGGGGUGGGCAAGUCUGGUGUCAGCCGCCGCGGUAAUACCAGCACCUCGAGUGGUCAGGACGUUUAUUGGGCCUAAAGCAUCCGUAGCCGGCUCUGCAAGUCUUCGGUUAAAUCCACCUGCUCAACAGAUGGGCUGCUGGAGAUACUACAGAGCUAGGGAGUGGGAGAGGCAGACGGUAUUCAGUGGGUAGGGGUAAAAUCCUCUGAUCCAUUGAGGACCACCGGUGGCGAAGGCGGUCUGCCAGACACGUUCGACGGUGAGGGAUGAAAGCUGGGGGAGCAAACCGGAUUAGAUACCCGGGUAGUCCCAGCUGUAAACGAUGCAAACUCGGUGAUGCAUUGGCUUAUGGCCAAUGCAGUGCCGCAGGGAAGCCGUUAAGUUUGCCGCCUGGGAAGUACGGA